rnacentral:rRNA from 1 species
UACGUAGGGUCCGAGCGUUGUCCGGAAUUAUUGGGCGUAAAGGGCUCGUAGGCGGUUUGUCGCGUCGGGAGUGAAAUCUUACAGCUUAACUGUGAACUUGCUUCCGAUACGGGCAGACUUGAGGCAUUCAGGGGAGAACGGAAUUCCUGGUGUAGCGGUGAAAAUGCGCAGAUAUCAGGAGGAACACCGGUGGCGAAGGCAGCUCUCUGGGGACGGUACUGACGCUGAGACGCGAAAAGCGUGGGGAGCGAACAGG